rnacentral:lncRNA from 1 species
GGCAUAGUUACUGGACACUCGGUAGUGCCUGAGCUUCACAACAGAUCUGAGGAUGCACGUUUCGCUUGAAUUGGUUUGAUGCUACCACUGAUAUCGAAGGGGUUUGUAAAUAAUAGUAUUGGCCCUAGAAGAACUACAGAGCUUGAGAUUGUAAAUAACAGAGAAAGCUCAAUGAUGGAUGCUCACCAUAAGUUUGUCAAUAACAGCAAUAAAGAUCGGACCAUUGGGAAUCAUUUUGAAGACAGUCAUGGGUUUUUAUUGAAGAAGGUAACUAAUAGCAACCCUUAAUAAAGUUUUUCUAGGGUAGUUAAAAAAAGUGCUCAUCGAUUGCAUAUGAUUUGAUAGUGGAUACUAAAGUUAACAUGUUUGUGUUAUGUGCAGUUAUUCUUUUAUUCUCCUGGAAGGUUGAUUAACCAAUGUUGAUAUUGUGAAUGGAGUGUAGAUGUACUGAGUGAGCGAGAGCUUGAUUGUGAACCAAAUUAUGGGUAUAUGCAUGCUUAAGGGUUGCCAGUUUCCUCCUAGUUACUUUGUAAAUAACAGGCUCGUAUCUGUACAUAUGGCCUUUUUAAUAGUGGAUAUGUUGGGAAUACAAACCCAUAGUGUCUCAAGUAUGCUUGUGUAGACACUCGAACAAUUGGCUGGUGUGCUGACUCGACUGGAAUCUCGACUGAGUGACGUGAGCCUACUUCAGUUCUAGCUUGAUGUCAAUAGGCUCUAUAGCAACUAUAAUUUGUCUCACAUACCAUAUAUAGUUCGAGCGGACUUCCAUUCUGGCUCGAUGUUAAUAGGCUCUAUAGAUUUUGUAAUUUGUCUCACAUAUCAUAUAUAAUUUGUCAAUUUGCGAUCAUUUGACAACGUGUGGCUUAAUUGAUAAAACACCAAGUUAAAUCUAAAAUGUAGAAUACAGUAUAAUUAAAUUCUUGGCUCUA